GGGGAAUAUUGCGCAAUGGGGGCAACCCUGACGCAGCCAUGCCGCGUGAAUGAAGAAGGCCUUCGGGUUGUAAAGUUCUUUCGGUAGCGAGGAAGGCACUUAGUUUAAUAGACUAGGUGAUUGACGUUAACUACAGAAGAAGCACCGGCUAACUCCGUGCCAGCAGCCGCGGUAAUACGGAGGGUGCGAGCGUUAAUCGGAAUAACUGGGCGUAAAGGGCACGCAGGCGGUGACUUAAGUGAGGUGUGAAAGCCCCGGGCUUAACCUGGGAAUUGCAUUUCAGACUGGGUAACUAGAGUACUUUAGGGAGGGGUAGAAUUCCACGUGUAGCGGUGAAAUGCGUAGAGAUGUGGAGGAAUACCGAAGGCGAAGGCAGCCCCUUGGGAAUGUACUGACGCUCAUGUGCGAAAGCGUGGGGAGCAAACAGGAUUAGAUACCCUGGUAGUCCACGCUGUAAACGCUGUCGAUUUGGGGAUUGGGCUUAAAGCUUGGUGCCCGUAGCUAACGUGAUAAAUCGACCGCCUGGGGAGUACGGCCGCAAGGUUA
rnacentral:rRNA from 1 species